AAAAUUUUAAAGGUCGAACAGACCUAAUAAAUUAACUUUUGCAUUAAUUAUAAAUUUUAAUCCAACAUCGAGGUCGCAAACUUAUUUUUCGAUAGGAACUCUAAAAAUAAAUUACG
rnacentral:rRNA from 1 species